AAUUGUCUUGCCUCAGCCUCCUGAGUAGCUGGGACUACAGAAUUUCUUCAGGUUGAAUUACCUAGAAGUUUGUCACUGACUCGGGUACCUGAACUAUGACAGAUGAAUAUGUGGGCUAAGAAAUAGUUUCUCUUGAUAAAUAAACAAUUAACAAAU